GACGAACGCUGGCGGCGUGCUUAACACAUGCAAGUCGAGCGGUAAGGCCCUUCGGGUACGACGAGCGGCGAACGGGUGAGUAACACGUGGGUGACCUGCCUCUAGCUCUGGGAUAAGCCUGGGAAACUGGGUCUAAUACCGGAUAUGACUCCACGGCGCAUGUUGGUGGGGUGGAAANCCUUGUGUGGCUAGAGAUGGGCCCGCGG
rnacentral:rRNA from 1 species